UGUGGAUUACAACCUGAUUUGUGGUGACAUCUGGAUCCUUGUAUUCACUCAUGUCCUGGCAAGCAUCGCAACCUUCAAACUUAUCAUCUAUUGACACUUA